GCCGAAAAGACACCACACAUGGGUGGACACUGACGACACGACCCUAGACACCUCGAUACACACACACACGAUCACCACGCAAAAACUGCCUACACCACGGCCUAAAUCUAUACCAAACGAAAGCUGAGUCAAGUCAGGCAAAGAAACACCAGUCCCCCUCAAAGCUACCUUGAAAAGAUCGAACUUCAGCAACAGCAGCAAGAAUAACAACACAGAGCGGAUCAGUACGCUCACACUAGGCAGACCACAACACGGGAACACCAACUCACGGGAGUAGACAACGACAGGGGAAUACACAUUAGCAGCACAUAGACAGGCCAAGUUAGGAGGGCAAUUCAAUUGUUAAUAUGAAUCAAUGCAAUACAUAUUCAUGAUAUACUUGAACACUGAGUUUGCUUUGAGACCUGCAUGUCUCUCCCUCAAUUGUUACUCAGGAGAUCUGCGAAUAUCGACUGACUAAUUGUAAUACUGUUUACCUGAAACCUGCGCGUUUCUCCUCAUUUCAUCCUUUCUUUCAAAAAAUUUGAAAAAAAUCUCAAUAAAAAGAUAUUUGCAAAAACAAGGAUCAAAAGAGUCUGCUUUGUGUCUUGUAUGUGGGAAGCAAGGGUGAUA